ensembl:misc_RNA
CUUACCACGUGCUAGUAAGCACUGACUGGCCCCAGAGCCAGACGUUGGAUUCAUCUGUGAAGGACCCGCAGAGAAAAGGAAGAACUUGGGGAACCAGGACCUCAGGAAAACCCCAGAAAAUCACAGGAUGGCCCUUGGGUGCUACCUGGGUGGAAGGGGUUAGAAAAGGUUUCCUGGAAGGAGGACCUAAACUGGCUGUUUUUAUUUUUAAUUUUUAAUGAUUUACUUUAGCAUAAAAGU